rnacentral:rRNA from 1 species
CGAACGCUGGCGGCGUGCUUAACACAUGCAAGUCGAACGGUGAAGCGCCUUCCUUUUUGGUGGGUGUGGAUGAGUGGCGAACGGGUGAGUAACACGUGAGUAACCUGCCCCCUUCUUCUGGAUAACCGCAUGAAAGUGUGGCUAAUACGGGAUAUUCUGGGUCUGUCGCAUGAUGGGUCUGGGAAAGAUAUUGUUUCGGUGGGGGAUGGGCUCGCGGCCUAUCAGCUUGUUGGUGGGGUGAUGGCCUACCAAGGCGGUGACGGGUAGCCGGCCUGGGAGGGUGGACGGUCACACUGGGACUGAGACACGGCCCAGACUCCUACGGGAGGCAGCAGUGGGGAAUAUGGCACAAUGGGCGCAAGCCUGAUGCAGCGACGCCGCGUGAGGGAUGGAGGCCUUCGGGUUGUGAACCUCUUUCGCCAGUGAAGCAGGCCUGCCUCGUUUGUGGGUGGGUUGACGGUAGCUGGAUAAGAAGCGCCGGCUAACUACGUG